rnacentral:rRNA from 1 species
UACGUAGGGUGCGAGCGUUGUCCGGAAUUAUUGGGCGUAAAGAGCUCGUAGGCGGUUUGUCGCGUCUGCUGUGAAAUCCCGAGGCUCAACCUCGGGCCUGCAGUGGGUACGGGCAGACUGGAGUGCGGUAGGGGAGACUGGAAUUCCUGGUGUAGCGGUGGGAAUGCGCAGAUAUCAGGAGGAACACCGAUGGCGAAGGCAGGUCUCUGGGCCAUUACUGACGCUGAGAAGCGAAAGCAUGGGGAGCGAACAGG